AGAUUUAAUCAAAUUCAAAGAAACCUUAAAGAAAUUACAAAAGAAACAAGAAGAAAUUGUAAAGAAGUUGAAAGAAAAUCUAUAAUAAACCUUAAAAGAAUCCUUAAGAAGUCCUAAAAAAUAUUAAAAUGAUUAAAAAUAUAUCUUAAAUAAAUUUAAAUCAAGUUUUAAUUUAAUCUUAAUUGAAAUCCUAAUAGACUUCAAUCAAUUCCUAGACAAAUCUUAAAUCCUAAAUCAAAUCCUAAAUCAAAUUUAUAGAUCCUAAACCAAAUCCUAAAUCCUAAACCAAACCUUAGAUCAAAUCUUAGACCUUAAAUCAAAUCCUAAAUAAAAUCUUAGAAAAAUCUUAAAUCCUAAAUUAAAU
rnacentral:lncRNA from 1 species